UUUUUUUUUCUUUCUGUGUGACGUUAUUUCCAAAGGCACAUUGUCUGUCUAAUAAUUCGACGAGAAAGCUUUUGUUGUAGGAAAUCCACAACUGUUCUGCUCCCAAAAGCCUUCUUGAAGGAAUAAGGUAAACAAAUUCUUAUGACAUGUAGUUUGCUCAUCAUUCACUUGAAGCAGCAGGUAACUUGGUGCAGUGUUGAACCCUAGAAAUGAUUUAUAUGAUUAUGUGUUAUUACUUCACAAAUUAUAGUAUGGAAGUAACGAGCGCGUAAUUAGAUGUGAUGUUCGCUGGUAUUAUAAAAAUGUUAGCACUCUUUUCAGGAUCAAAACAUUUGGUAGAGUUCUGCUUAUUGCUAGUUAAUACAUAGAUUAUGCUGAUAUGUUUUUGCUAAUGAAUUGAAUUUUUGUUGUUUAUCUCGAUCAACGUAUUUCUUUCUUACUUUUGGGAGCAUCUGCGACAAAUUUCUAACAAGUGAUGGUAUAAUUUUUUCUGUUCAUUUUUAGUUUGUUUUAACUAGUACUGAAUUCUUGCAUCAGGUUCCUCGGCUUGGUUUAUUUCUGUCAUGUGAUCUAGGUAUGUAUGUAUGCAGUAUUUGUUUCAAAGAGUAACAUCUAGCAGAUGAAAAUGUAUUAUAGAAUAUUGGCAAUUCUGUAAAUUUAGCUCUGGUCAUCUGAUUGUUGUAAUGUUGAACAAUUUCUGCAUUAUGAAUAGUUUCUAUUGCCUUAGGCGAUGCAAGGUAAUGAAACUUCAUGAAGUAGCAUUUGUCGUAAAAUCUGGUGACAUGUGUUUCACACGUUGGAUCACGAUGACUAAUUACUGUCGAUUUUAUCUGCGGGUAUUUUUUUUAUGGUUGCAACUUUUGAGUAGUGUUGAAGGAAAGAGCAUGUGCAUGAGUAAACAUUAAAGUAUUUUCUUGAUUAUUCCUAGAAUAGUGACUAGAGUGCAAUUCGGAUCAAAUGAUUUGAAUUUACUCCAAACAAAUAUAGAUUUGUUAUUGUCAAUUUGAAAUUCCUCUUUCAAACCUUCCAUCGUAAUGAACUGCAACUUCACUCUUACUAUUUAAUAAUGAGGGUAAAUUACGGAUACCCCCGAGACGAAG
rnacentral:lncRNA from 1 species